ACGAACGCUGGCGGCGUGCUUCACACAUGCAAGUCGAACGCAAAGAGGGAAAGAGCUUGCUCUUUCCGGAAUUGAGUGGCAAACGGGUGAGUAACACGUAAACAACCUGCCUUCAGGAUGGGGACAACAGACGGAAACGACUGCUAAUACCGAAUAAGUUCCAAGAGCCGCAUGGCCCAUGGAAGAAAAGGUGGCCUCUACCUGUAAGCUAUCGCCUGAAGAGGGGUUUGCGUCUGAUUAGCUGGUUGGAGGGGUAACGGCCCACCAAGGCGACGAUCAGUGGCCGGUCUGAGAGGAUGAACGGCCACACUGGAACUGAGACACGGUCCAGACUCCUACGGGAGGCAGCAGUGGGGAAUCUUCCGCAAUGGGCGAAAGCCUGACGGAGCAACGCCGCGUGAGUGAUGACGGCCUUCGGGUUGUAAAACUCUGUGAUCCGGGACGAAAAGGCAGAGUGCGAAGAACAAACUGCAUUGACGGUACCGGAAAAGCAAGCCACGGCUAACUACGUG
rnacentral:rRNA from 1 species